GGGACGUUAGCUCAGUUGGUAGAGCAGCGGACUUUUAAUCCGUUGGUCGUGGGUUCGAAUCCCUCACGUCCUACCA
rnacentral:tRNA from 2 species